rnacentral:rRNA from 1 species
GAGUUUGAUCGUGGCUCAGAUUGAACGCUGGCGGCAGGCCUAACACAUGCAAGUCGAGCGGUAGAGAGAAGCUUGCUUCUCUUGAGAGCGGCGGACGGGUGAGUAAUGCCUAGGAAUCUGCCUGGUAGUGGGGGAUAACGCUCGGAAACGGACGCUAAUACCGCAUACGUCCUACGGGAGAAAGCAGGGGACCUUCGGGCCUUGCGCUAUCAGAUGAGCCUAGGUCGGAUUAGCUAGUUGGUGAGGUAAUGGCUCACCAAGGCGACGAUCCGUAACUGGUCUGAGAGGAUGAUCAGUCACACUGGACUGAGACACGGUCCAGACUCCUACGGGAGGCAGCAGUGGGGGAAUAUUGGACAAUGGGCGAAAGCCUGAUCCAGCCAAUGCCGCGUGUGUGAAGAAGGUCUUCGGAUUGUAAAGCACUUAAGUU